rnacentral:rRNA from 1 species
GACGAACGCUGGCGGCGUGCUUAACACAUGCAAGUCGAGCGGUAAGGCUCCUUCGGGAGUACACGAGCGGCGAACGGGUGAGUAACACGUGAGUAAUCUGCCCUUCACUUCGGGAUAACCACCGGAAACGGUGGCUAAUACCGAAUACGACCAGUCUUCGCAUGAGGUGCUGGUGGAAAGUCUUUUCGGUGAAGGAUGUGCUCGCGGCCUAUCAGCUUGUUGGUGGGGUAAUGGCCUACCAAGGCUUCGACGGGUAGCCGGCCUGAGAGGGUGACCGGCCACACUGGGACUGAGACACGGCCCAGACUCCUACGGGAGGCAGCAGUGGGGAAUAUUGGACAAUGGGCGAAAGCCUGAUCCAGCAACGCCGCGUGAGGGAUGACGGCCUUCGGGUUGUAAACCUCUUUCAGUACCGACGAAGCGCCCUGUCGGGUGGUGACGGUAGGUACAGAAGAAGGACCGGCCAACUACGU